AAUCAAUGGGCGUAAGCUUGAUGGAGCAAUUCUGCGUGAGGAAAGCAGACUAUUUGUCUGUUUUCCUCUGUAGUCAAGGAGGAAGAUUUGACGGUCCUGGAGGAAUAAGCCAGGGGUAAUUCUGUGCCAGCAACCGCGUUAAUACUGGGGUGGCAGGCGUUUUCCGGAUUUAUUGGGCGUAAAGCGUCAGCAGGCGGCCGUACAAUUCUGUUGUUAACAACUGGAGCUUAACUCCAUCAUGCCAGUGGAAACUGUUGGGUUGGAGUGUGUUAGGGGCAGAGGGAAUUCCCGGUGAGGGGGGGAAAGGCGUGGAUUUCGGGAGGACCACCAGUGGCGAAGGCGCUCUGCUGGGCCUUCACUGACGCUCGUGGAUGAAAGCCAGGGGGGCGAAAGGGAUUGGAUACCCCUGUUGUCUUGCCGUUAACCGAUGAACAAUAGGUGUCGGGAGAAUCGACCCUUCCGUGUCGAGCCAAGGAGUAAGUGUC
rnacentral:rRNA from 1 species